GCAUAUAAGUAGGUGGAGGAAAAGAAACCGAAUGGGAACCCCUUAGUAAUGGCGAAUGAAAAGGGGUGUGCUUAGCGUCAAAAUCAGUUAUACUGACUUGUAGAUUGUAUGGGUAUUGCCAGUGUGGGGGUGGGUGAAAGUCUCUUGGAAAGGAGCACCAGCGAGGGUGAUGGUCCCGCUUGACAUCCACUACUCCACGCGGACGGCGUAUCUUUCAAAAGUCGCGUUCUUCUGGAAUAGAGCGCAAACUGGGUGGUACCUCACGCCCAAGGAGCAUUACGUGCUUGAGACCAAUAGUGAACAAGUACCAUGAGGGAAGGAUGAAAAGGACUUUGGAAAGAGGGUUAAGAGGGCAUGAAGCUGCUGGAAGGGAAGUGGACUGGAAUUUUUCUGGUGGAAGGAUUGCGGAUGUCAGCUUCACUUGCGAGUGCUGUCAUCUGUGUUUCUUUCCACUUGGUUGGGAGUGGUGCUCAUGCCAAGAAAUCCUGCGUUGGUUGAUGAAGGGUUGCAACUUGGACCAUACCUUUGCUUCUUCUUGGUUUUGUACUGCCUCUCAACCAAUAUGUCCAGUUUUGCCCGUCUUGAAACACGGACCAAGGAGUCUAAUGUGUGUGCAAGUGUGCUGGAGAACAUACCUGACAAUGCAACGAACGUGACUUGCUGAGAUUCUUGCAUCAGCAACCAACUGAUCUCUUGGGAGAAGUUUGUGUAUGAGCACACCUGUUAGUACCCGAAAGGUGGUGAACUAUGCCUGAGAAAGGUGACGUCAGGGGAAACUCUGAUGGAGGCUUGUAGCGCUACUGACGUGCAAAUCGUUCGUCUGACUUGGGUAUAGGGGCGAAAGAC
rnacentral:rRNA from 1 species